ACUAUUUUGGCAGAUAAGUGCGGUAGAUUUAGAAUCUGUGAAUGUAAUUAUAAAAUUGCAAAUAGUA
rnacentral:tRNA from 1 species